rnacentral:rRNA from 1 species
UCGAGCGAACGGACGAGAAGCUUGCUUCUCUGAUGUUAGCGGCGGACGGGUGAGUAACACGUGGAUAACCUACCUAUAAGACUGGGAUAACUUCGGGAAACCGGAGCUAAUACCGGAUAAUAUUUUGAACCGCAUGGUUCAAAAGUAAAAGACGGUCUUGCUGUCACUUAUAGAUGGAUCCGCGCUGCAUUAGCUAGUUGGUAAGGUAACGGCUUACCAAGGCAACGAUGCAUAGCCGACCUGAGAGGGUGAUCGGCCACACUGGAACUGAGACACGGUCCAGACUCCUACGGGAGGCAGCAGUAGGGAAUCUUCCGCAAUGGGCGAAAGCCUGACGGAGCAACGCCGCGUGAGUGAUGAAGGUCUUCGGAUCGUAAAACUCUGUUAUUAGGGAAGAACAUAUGUGUAAGUAACUGUGCACAUCUAGACGGUACCUAAUCAGAAAGCCACGGCUAACUACGUGCCAGCAGCCGCGGUAAUACGUAGGUGGCAAGCGUUAUCCGGAAUUAUUGGGCGUAAAGCGCGCGUAGGCGGUUUUUUAAGUCUGAUGUGAAAGCCCACGGCUCAACCGUGGAGGGUCAUUGGAAACUGGAAAACUUGAGUGCAGAAGAGGAAAGUGGAAUUCCAUGUGUAGCGGUGAAAUGCGCAGAGAUAUGGAGGAACACCAGUGGCGAAGGCGACUUUCUGGUCUGUAACUGACGCUGAUGUGCGAAAGCGUGGGG